rnacentral:rRNA from 1 species
UGGGGAAUAUUGCACAAUGGGCGAAAGCCUGAUGCAGCAACGCCGCGUGAGUGAUGAAGGUCUUCGGAUUGUAAAGCUCUGUCUUUUGGGACGAUAAUGACGGUACCAAAGGAGGAAGCCACGGCUAACUACGUGCCAGCAGCCGCGGUAAUACGUAGGUGGCGAGCGUUGUCCGGAUUUACUGGGCGUAAAGGGUGCGUAGGCGGAUGUUUAAGUGAGAUGUGAAAUACCCGGGCUUAACUUGGGUGCUGCGUUUCAAACUGGAUAUCUAGAGUGCAGGAGAGGAGAAUGGAAUUCCUAGUGUAGCGGUGAAAUGCGUAGAGAUUAGGAAGAACACCAGUGGCGAAGGCGAUUCUCUGGACUGUAACUGACGCUGAGGCACGAAAGCGUGGGUAGCAAACAGGAUUAGAUACCCUGGUAGUCCACGCCGUAAACGAUGAGUACUAGGUGUAGGAGGUAUCGACCCCUUCUGUGCCGCAGUAAACACAUUAAGUACUCCGCCUGGGAAGUACGAUCGCAAGAUUAAAACUCUAAAGUGAAUUGAC